rnacentral:rRNA from 1 species
GGAUGCGAUCAUACCAACACUAAUGCACUCGAUCCCAUCAGAACUUCGCAGUUAAGCGUGUCGGGCGAGAGUAGUACUAGGAUGGGUGACCUCUUGGGAAGUCCUCGUGUUGCACCCC